rnacentral:rRNA from 1 species
GUGAGGAAGGGGUGAGGAGGAGACGGCGGCGGGGGUAGCAGAGUUGGGAGAGAUAAAGGGAUGAAGGAACGGGACGGGCGCGGCGUAGUGGUAGAGGAGGAAGAGGCGACGUGGCGGCGGCAGGACGAGGAAGAGGAGGUGGCUUUGGUUGGCCUCGUGCGGACCUUCGCCUCAUCUAGGGGCAGGCAGAGAGAUGACCUAGACCUAACCGAGGGCACUGAGAAGGAGGGAGACAACUAGGCCGUACCUCGAGUUUGGACUGCAGUCGAACAGCCUCGCCUCGCCGGCACGCCACCGGCCAGAUGAUGUGCCGUGUGACCUCCGUCUUCGCUGCCGUCGUAGUGGGAAAGGAAGGGGCAGGUACUUCAGUCUGGAGAGCGAGCGGGGGAUGCAGGUUUGACAUCUAGGUGGACAAGAACAAAAGGGGGUAAAAAGAAACCUGAUUAGAGUAUCGAAGGCCCAGUCAAGUAGAAGUUAGAAGACAUUGGGGUACUAUUAUAGGUGCUUAGUCAUAGAAUCAACUAAAACCAGAUACCGAUGGAUUAAGAUCUCGAUCUUAUCUUAUCCAACUCCCCUAUCUAGACUGUGACUCAUCCGUUCGUAAAGUCAGAUCCAAUCAGCAACCAAAACCUCGUUUUAUCUCGCGGGGACUUUCUUUACUAGACGUGUGCCCUCUUUUUUUUCCAUAAAGUUUUAUACACUUGUUGUAAAGUAACGUUCCUCUCGCGGUAUAACCAGUCUCACGAUCUCGACGUGAAUAACAAAAGUAAAGGACGAUAGGCUAUACGGUAAUUAGAAUGCAAGAGUUGCAUGUUUACACGAAGUGGUUUAAAAUUUUUAUUAGAACUACCAAUUGUGAAAUUGAACUCCUCUAUAAAGGUAUUCGUACAAAUCAAAAAAGGACACGAUCCGAGAUAAUCGAAUAAGACUUAGACUUGUACUGUACUACUUGGUGACCUUACAUUAGUCUGGUAAAAGAGAGAGAUACACACACACAUUGUUCAAGGAAACUAACUAACAGUAUGAAGAGUGUGUGUGCCUGACCUAGGGCCGACGCUCCCGUUGGAGAUCGGAGACGUAGAAGGAGGGACUGCCAUCGCCGGAUUGUGCGUACCUGACUUCACAACCAGUCCACGGGUGUUGAGCCGAGAAGUACGAACUCUAAAACACGAAGAGACUAGACCAAAAUCAUUCAACAUUUUCCGGUAUCGACCAAGAGUUCCUUCUCGGAAGUGGAGUACCGACUUAUAACCCAUUUUAACGCCCGUAUGUUUAAUGUAGAAAAAAAACAACGGAAUAUUUGUACCAACAUUUGUUUGACUUAUAACCGUUUGUUUGACAUACAGGUAAGAUUGAGACUAUAAAGACUUUCACUUUCCCUCCAUCCUAUCGCAUCUCUCGUCUCUUGUGUGUUCAAUACAACUUUUAAAACCGGCUUCAAUGUCACGUAAUCGAUCAUAUUUAUAUCGUGUUGAUCGUACGGAUCUACGUCUGCUGCAACUACCAUUCUAUACGAACUGUUGAUUGUUUGUACUAGUAUAAUAAGUAAAGUAUUUACAUCUGUUUUUUAUAGAGAAACAAAACUGUAUUUUUGUUAGGUUAAAUAGAAGAGCGAAUACAAAACCUAAAGUGAUACUGGACUGAGAGAAAGAAACUAAAAAAAUGUGCUGAACAACGGAUAUCCACAUCUACGACUUUGGAAGGAUGUCAUCCACACGGAAAGUGUACAAACAACUCUACAAACUAUUAAAAAACCGGACUACGUUAUUGUAGUUUUGUCCAAUCACUAACGAUGAUGUACCGCAUGUACGUUCACGGGACUAUUUAAAAAACCGGAAUACGUUAUUGUAGUUUUGUCGAAUCAAACAGCAUGAAUUAAUUAAACACGUACUUCAUAAGAUCAAACGUUUUUAAUUACAACGAAGAAUGACAAUACAUAUACGCACAUCAUCAAGUUCGAACGUAUGUGAUUGAUUCUAGUGUUCUUUCUAUCUGUAUGAAGAUAAAACGUUAUUUCUACAAUUUAUACUUUAAAAACCUCCUAUACACGAUCCUAAAAUAUCAAUUCGUCACAAAAGACAAAGUACGACUAUGGAAAAACCGAGGGGAUCUAACUCGUAUAGAUUUUACGUUAGACAUGUUCUACUUGGUUACUUUUUUUUUCCUUGAAGUUUGAGAUCGAACAUGGAAUUAUUGGAACGUAACGAAUCUAUGUGAUGAUCUCACCAGCAGUGGAGGAUAAGUAAACAAGACUAAACCGAACAUGUAAUUAUUGGGACUUCAUUAAAAAUUCGGUACGUAUCUAAUUAAACAUCAAGAGCACGUUCGACAAUCCAAAGGAUCUGUACGUGUUCGGAACAAGGAUGGCAACAGUGGGUCAUUUGUAUAUAUGACCAAGUCAAAUAAAGUAAAGUAAUAAAAAAGGAUAAUAUCUAUUAUGAUGAUACAAACAUUUCACCCGUCGUUAAACGUCGUAUUGGUAAUUUAGAAUACCGCGAUGAGCAACUGGGCCAACCGCAUUUGUAGUGUCGUUACUAUAACAAACAAUCACUACGGUAAAACAACCGUACAAUACCGGAGUUGAUCAUGAUGAUAUCAUGAACUCAAGACCCUACAUACAAAACAAAGAAACAGUAAACUGAAAGUAAACUGUACGAAAAGAAACCUAAUUAAAAGCAGGAGUACAAAUGAGAACAAAAUAUCAUCUACGUUUCAAUAAGAGUAAACAUCCGUGAUAUUCUAGAUUCUUAAAACCUGUUGUACAUCAAGUAAAAAUUGAAACAACAUUAAGAGAAAAAAGAUACUUGAUGAGUAUAUACGUUUAUAGAUUAUUCCAAGGAGAUUUAUACGAUCCAUUCUAAUCCAUCGCUCGAUGAACCACAACGGUAGUGUUAGUCGGUGCUGUACAAUCAACGGUAUCCUCCCGACUCCUCCCGGCUGCUGUUCUUGUACUUAUUGUUGGAGUUAUCAAGUAUACAAUACAACUACAUUUUACCUAACAUUACCAAGGAUUGAAACGUCACUCCUAAAACAUUUGACGAUACAACAUCUAUGUAUAUCUACCGACGUUCGACAUAAUUGACACAUUACAAGACUAUGAAACUUCUGUGUAGGAGAAACAUUUUUAAGAGUAAACCUAAACACUCUGCGUGAUACGAUUUUUG